rnacentral:rRNA from 1 species
UAAUACGGAGGGGGCGAGCGUUGUUCGGAUUUAUUGGGUGUAGAGGGUGUGUAGGCGGUCUUGCAAGUCAGGUGUGAAAUCCCUUGGCUUAACCAGGGAAGUGCACUUGAAACUGCAUGACUUGAGUAUAAGAGAGGAGAGUGGAAUUCCCGGUGUAGAGGUGAAAUUCGUAGAUAUCGGGAGGAACACCAGUGGCGAAGGCGACUCUCUGGCUUAAUACUGUCGCUGAAACACGAAAGCUAGGGGAGCGAACGGGAUUAGAUACCCCGGUAGUCCUAGCCGUAAACGAUGGGCACUAGGUGUAGGGGGUUUAAACUUUCUGUGCC